AUUCUGUGAUGAGGGCACUUUCGUAAUAAUUUUUGUACCUUUCCCAUGCCUCAUACAAGGACUCAUCAUCCAUUUGUUGGAAGGCAGUGAUCUCAUUUCUCAACUU
rnacentral:snoRNA from 1 species